rnacentral:rRNA from 1 species
ACUCAAAUGAAUAGACGGGGACCCGCACAAGCAGUGGAGCAUGUGGUUUAAUUCGAUGCAACGCGAAGAACCUUACCCAGGUUUGACAUGCACUGGACGUACCUAGAGAUAGGUAUUCCCUUCGGGGCCGGUGCACAGGUGCUGCAUGGCUGUCGUCAGCUCGUGCCGUGAGGUGUUUGGUUAAGUCCAGCAACGAGCGCAACCCUUAUCACUAGUUGCCAACACGUAAAGGUGGGAACUCUAGUGAGACUGCCCGGGUUAACCGGGAGGAAGGUGAGGAUGACGUCAAGUCCGCAUGGCCCUUAUAUCUGGGGCUACACACGUGCUACAAUGGUCGACACAAUAGGCAGCAAAGCCGCAAGGUGAAGCAAAUCCAAUAAAGUCGAUCUCAGUUCAGAUUGUAGUCUGCAACUCGACUACAUGAAGACGGAAUUGCUAGUAAUGGCGUGUCAGCAACAACGCCGUGAAUACGUUCCCGGGUCUUGUACACACCGCCCGU